rnacentral:rRNA from 1 species
ACCAGGAGAGGCUGUCCGAUACUUCCAGACUUGAGGGCAACAGAGGGCGGUGGAAUUCCGGGUGUAGUGGUAAAAUGCGUAGAUAUCCGGAGGAACACCAGUGGCGAAGGCGGCCGCCUGGGUUGCCCCUGACGCUAAAACACGAAGGCUAGGGUAGAGAACGGGAUUAGAAACCCCGGUAUUCCUAGCAGUAAACGAUGUUGACUAGGUGUCGGGAGUGUAAAAGCUCUCGGUGUCGUAGCUAACGCGUUAAGUCAACCGCCUGGGGACUACGGCCGCAAGGUUAAAACUCAAAGGAAUUGACGGGGACCCGCACAAGCAGCGGAGCGUGUGGUUUAAUUCGAAGCAACGCGAAGAACCUUACCAGCCCUUGACAUGGGACGUAUGGGAAGCAGAGACGCUUCUCUUCAG